rnacentral:misc_RNA from 1 species
UGGACUACUAGGGUUUCUAAUCCUGUUUGCUCCCCACGCUUUCGUGCCUCAGCGUCAGUGUUGUCCCAGAUGGCCGCCUUCGCCACUGAUGUUCCUCCCGAUCUCUACGCAUUUCACCGCUACACCGGGAAUUCCACCAUCCUCUGACACACUCUAGCCCUCCAGUAUCCACUGCCAUUCCCAGGUUGAGCCCGGGGAUUUCACAGCAGACUUAAAGAACCGCCUACGCACGCUUUACGCCCAGUAAUUCCGAUUAACGCUUGCACCCUUCGUAUUACCGCGGCGGCUGGCACA